AGAUCUUGGACCACAGAUUGUAACUUUUGUAUCUCAGCAACUUGGUUUUUGGAUCUCGUAGAUAAAUUUUCACACUCUUUUACCUUCCUGUCAAGAACAGUAGAAAGAGACUGCACAUCAGCCCGCAAAUAAUGAAUAUCAGAAGCAGCCUCUUUGUAAGUACUCAAUUGACGUUGCAUAUUUCCCAUUUCCUCAGGGAAUGAGGAAACCAAGGCUUUGAAUUCAGCAAUAAUUUCUUUUCUUCCAGGUUCUCCUGAUGCCUCUUCCAGCUUAGCCUUGAUCAUAUUUCUCUCACUGAUCUGUCUCUGUAUCCCUAUCCCUAAAUCAGCAAUUCUAGAAUCCACAACUGCAGACGAUCUUCGAAAAAC
rnacentral:misc_RNA from 1 species